UAUACUUUUUGAAAUAAUUAGUGUUGUUUGAAAAAACAAAAUCAACUCUGUAAUCUGUAUACUAGGUAACUUUAAAAUAAUAUUAUAUUAUUAUCUAAAUUUUGACGACAAUAUAAUAUAGUGAUAAACUGAUAACUGAUAAUGAUAAUUACUAAUUAAUAUUAUUUUAAAUGAAUACUAACACUAAACGACAAAAAAUAUAAAAAAUAGACAAUUAUUUGUAAAAAUUCUUAAGAAUUUGAGACAGUACUGAUCGCCGUUCAGCCACAACCAUUUUCAAAAUGUUAUCACAUCGCCAUUCGCCAGUCAAAGUGAACGCUAUAUACCUCGAGUACUCAUCACCAGCGACUACACUAGAAGAAUGUCAUGAUUAGCUAAGUAAGUUAAUCAUGGAGAAUGUUUAGGAUGUCGACCGUUGCAUUGAACGUGUGAAAAAUCAGAAGAUGAACGGGCCACAUAUGAGCAACUGUGAAUGGAUGUUGUGAAGUAGAGGUGAAAUAAAUAAAUGGCCAAACGUUUUUUGUACCUACAUGACGUAUUGUACUUAUUAUAAGAUAUCAGAGCAUGUAGAAUAUUGUAGUACACUCGGAGAGACCCAAUAAAUACCAACUCCACUUACAGAGAGAGUAAAAGUAUCACUACUAUCAUCUACUGCACUAACAAGUACAGCCAUAAGUUUGCAUAUUAUAAUGUCAAAGGUGAACUAGUUGUUUCACGCUGGUUUUGAUCUGUAAAAAUAAAGUGUGGCAAAAUUGAAUAAACAAUCCAGGACUAGAUUGUUUUUAAUCUAACAACAUAACUUAGACAAACCAAACAAGACGACACAAACAGCUGCAAUGCAAAAAUCGAGGAAACAACCUAUCAAGCAACACAAAUCAACAAAUCGAUAAAUCAAGGAAACUACACAGCGAAAAAGAGGACAUAUGAUAUGAUCAACAAAAUAUUAUUUUAUUUUUUGUUAAAAAACCCGUAAAAUAGCUCUUCCAUUAUACAAUAUUACUUUAUAUGUAAUAAUAUGUUCCUAUAAGAUUUUGGUAAAAUUAAAAUAACCUUAAAAUUUUCUAAAUCUAAAUUUAAAAAUUUUUUUUUAUAUCUUAACGAGUAUACUCAAUUUUCAUUUUGAAUUGUUAAAAAUCAUUAAAUUUUCUUCUCACACAUUUGAAACAUUUGAAAUUAUUACCAUUAGUUUCAGGAUAAAAUGUAUACCAAUUAUUAUAUCAUUUAAUAUGAAACAUUUUCAUUGUAAAAUUUUCUUAAUCUAAGAAAACAUAUUUUAUAUCUCAAUACCUCGAGCAUACUCAUCAGACAAAACCAUCUAGUUAUGAUAUUAUUGUAUUAUCUAAUUUAUAUAUUUAUAUUAUAAUUAUACAUUUACUAAUUUAAUU